GACAGAGGGUGCAAACGUUGCUCGGAAUUACUGGGCGUAAAGGGCGUGUAGGCGGGAAGGCAAGUCGGGCGUGAAAGCCCCAGGCUCAACCUGGGAACUGCACUCGAAACUGCCUUUCUUGAGUGCCGGAGAGGAAAGCGGAAUUCCUGGUGUAGAGGGUGAAAUUCGUAGAUAAUCAGGAGGAACACCAGUGGCGAAGGCGGCUUUCUGGACGGGUAAGCUGACGUCUGAGACGCGAAAGCGUGGGGAGCAAACAGG
rnacentral:rRNA from 1 species